rnacentral:rRNA from 1 species
UGGCGGACGGGUGAGUAAUGUCUGGGAAACUGCCCGAUGGAGGGGGAUAACUACUGGAAACGGUAGCUAAUACCGCAUAACGUCGCAAGACCAAAGAGGGGGACCUUCGGGCCUCUUGCCAUCGGAUGUGCCCAGAUGGGAUUAGCUAGUAGGUGGGGUAAAGGCUCACCUAGGCGACGAUCCCUAGCUGGUCUGAGAGGAUGACCAGCCACACUAGAACUGAGACACGGUCCAG